rnacentral:rRNA from 1 species
CGGUAAUACGUAGGGUGCGAGCGUUAAUCGGAAUUACUGGGCGUAAAGCGUGCGCAGGCGGAUUGUUAAGCAAGAUGUGAAAUCCCCGGGCUUAACCUGGGAAUGGCAUUUUGAACUGGCAGUCUAGAGUGUGUCAGAGGGGGGUGGAAUUCCACGUGUAGCAGUGAAAUGCGUAGAGAUGUGGAGGAACACCGAUGGCGAAGGCAGCCCCCUGGGAUAACACUGACGCUCAUGUACGAAAGCGUGGGUAGCAAACAGGAUUAGAUACCCUGGUAGUCCACGCCCUAAACGAUGUCAACUGGUUGUUGGGGGAGUGAAAUCCCUUAGUAACGAAGCUAACGCGUGAAGUUGACCGCCUGGGGAGUACGGUCGCAAGAUUAAA